CAUAAGCAGGUAUUUCCAUUUGAUCAUACCCAAAAUGAUAAUGUAUACACUAACUUAAGAUGAUGGCUCUUCUACUCUGCUAACAUAACAUGCAUGUGCUUGUGUGGAGUGCCUACAAAAUUAAUAGCUCAAGUCUCUCAACACGCGGAUGGAUGAUGUUGUGGAGAGGGCCACCGAGAGGGGGUUUGCAUUGCCAAAGUUGAAGGUGGCCAUCGCCUUGACCUGCCUGGACCUCCUGACCUUUCACAACGCUCAAACAGGAAACACAUGUUGGAGGAGGAGACCACAAGCUAAUUGAUGAUUUGGAUGAGUGGAUCAGAGGACGACAUGAGCAGAUGUGGAGAGGGUUCUCCUAGCGGUCAUUGCAACUGUGAUAUGCAUUUCCUUGCUCUCGGCUCUGAUCAAGUUUGUAGCGUCUGGGAUGCAUAUGAAAAUCCACACGUGCGAUUUGGUUGUUAUAUUUUUUCCACACUGGUUUCUAGAGAUGUUCAAGUUAUCUCAUAUACUAUAUCGAAUUAUAAUGGAUAAGUUAGUGUACAUACUGAUUUGAAGAUCCUUUUGCUGUCAUACACAUAUUACUGCAGGACCAUAGCGGACCAUUGCAAUGCGGCAAAUCAAAUUUCAAUACUCAACACUCUUCU